UACAGAGGUCCCAAGCGUUGUUCGGAUUCAUUGGGCGUAAAGGGUGCGUAGGCGGCGCGGUAAGUCGGGUGUGAAAUCUCGGGGCUUAACUCCGAAACUGCAUUCGAUACUGCCGUGCUUGAGGACUGGAGAGGAGACUGGAAUUUACGGUGUAGCGGUGAAAUGCGUAGAUAUCGUAAGGAAGACCAGUGGCGAAGGCGGGUCUCUGGACAGUUCCUGACGCUGAGAAGCGAAAGCAUGGGGAGCGAACAGG
rnacentral:rRNA from 1 species